rfam:Asian citrus Psyllid, Diaphorina citri - Florida Strain, whole genome shotgun sequence.
ACUAGCAGCAAUAGCACGUUGGAUGCACUAUUUCCCCACGGAUCACUGAAGUUAAACAACUUUGUACGUGGUUGGUAUCUGGACAGCUGACUCUUUUUGACAGUACGACCUGCUGGCU